CGGUGAUGUCCCUUGCUCACCAACCUCGUACUCUUUCAUCAACACCCUGAGCUUGAAGUUGUUGCUUAAGAUAUUCGCAGAGUGUCAGGGCUGCUGGAGCAAAUGCGGAGGUUUGUUUAUGCGGAUUAUAUCUAUAUUCUUUAUGGAAAUGAAAAUGAUACACUGUUGUUUAUGAAUGGUAACAUGAGAAGUAACGUACUACAGCUUAUACGAGGAAAGAGCCUUUGAUAAUAUUGUCAUAUCACCUGGCCCUGGUUCUGCAAUCUGUGCUGCUAAUAUAGGGCCAUAACAAUGUCAAGGAUGGUGAUUCUUCAUCUCAGACUGGAAGCUGUAUAUUGAAGUCUACAAGGAGUGCUUUCAACUUUUGGUUUGACCAAAAUGCAUGUUUCUACAAGUAGACAAACUGUAUAAAAAUCUUAAUA